GAAAAACCUUAUGCUCAUCGUCGACAAGGCAGACCUCAACACACCAGCAUUAAUACCAAAUUCCUUGAGCGUCGGCGAAACACAAGCAGCGGCGGCACCUCACAGUCGACGGCGGCGGCGCUGGUCGUGGCGCGGACUAAGGCGGCAGACGAAUGGAGCGGCCGCUUGCAACGGCUGGAUAAGAAAACGAAACAGAGAGGGUUUAAGAAAGAGAGGAAUACGG
rnacentral:misc_RNA from 1 species